GAUAUUACGUUGGUAUGGCCAUCGACAGAAAAUUUAUGUAUUUUUUAUGAAUUAUAAAGGUAUUAUGCAGUAUUAUGCAGUAUUAUGCGAUAUUACGUUGGUUAUGGAUUAUUGACAGAAAAAAUAUGUAUUUGUUAUAUAGAGAGGAUGUCGGAUAA